AACGAACGCUGGCGGCAUGCCUAACACAUGCAAGUCGAACGAGACCUUCGGGUCUAGUGGCGCACGGGUGCGUAACGCGUGGGAACCUGCCCUUAGGUUCGGAAUAACUCCCCGAAAGGUGUGCUAAUACCGGAUAAUGUCUUCGGACCAAAGAUUUAUCGCCUUUGGAUGGGCCCGCGUUGGAUUAGCUAGUUGGUAGGGUAAAAGCCUACCAAGGCGACGAUCCAUAGCUGGUCUGAGAGGAUGAUCAGCCACACUGGGAAUGCGACACGGCCCAGACUGCUACGGGAGGCAGCAGUGGGGAAUAUUGGACGAGGGGCGAAAGCCUGAUCCAGCAAUGCCGGGUGAGUGAUGAAGGCCUUAGGGUUGUAAAGCUCUUUUAGCCGGGAUGAUAAUGACAGUACCGGGAGAAUAAGCUCCGGCUAACUACGUG
rnacentral:rRNA from 1 species